rnacentral:misc_RNA from 1 species
CGGCAACAUUCACACUUCAUGUUAGAUUAAGGAGUUUUCACCUAAUGUUGCCAAGAGAUAUGAAGCUGAAAAUUCUUCUGGAAAAGAGUGAAGCUUUUUUUCAUUAAAUUUCACAACAUCCAGGAUUGAAGAAGAGUUAAGUUACUUCGGAGAGCGUUCCUCUGCUUCUUGGCAUCCACAACAAAAUUUAACAAAUUCUUAUCCAAACGAUUCCCAAAAACAAGAGACUCGCGCAUGAGUUUGUUCGCUUCUCAAGAGAAAUCAGUUAAUAAAUACAGUCAAAUCACUCUUGACUUUCUAAGUUUGGGUUUUUUUCCCAAAUCUCAAAAACCUAUAGAUUUUUCACCAUGUUACAUUGUUAUAGUAUGAAUAUUCCGGUCAGAUAUUCUUGCUGCAAACAAGUAUCUCCGCCCCACCAGACAGCAAAUGGAACCGUUAGUAUGCAAUAAGCCGGUAUGCUUGGGGAGAAUAAAUCCUGCUACAAGCCCAAAAGUAUGCACAUGGCUUCACAAGCAUGCUUUACCCUCACAUUCCAAGGCCAAGUGCGUUCCCAGCACUAAACUGAUUUUGCAAGCCUCACCCAGCUAACAGGGAGAAAGUGAUUCCACCAUUUGAAAUGUCAAUACUAUAGAUAAAGAGUUGAUGAUAACAGUCUCAUUUCUUUGCUUUACGUGCAAGAAAUCGAUCCCUAGCUGCCUGAAUUCUACUUUCACGAUCAUCAGGAACCCCAGCAGCAGCAUUAGCCUCUUUCUUUGGCAAGUCUGAGAUCUUGCCUUCGGUUCCAUCUCUAACAUUUUGACCAAGAUCCCCACUCAGUUUGUUGAUAUCUAGUUCCUUAAGCUUUUGCAAUAUGGAAUUAACCCAAGAAUUCUCCACAGCACACACAUUGCGCAUGUAUGGACGUGAGGUAGCAAUAAGCUCAUGGUACAAAACAAAGUCUGGGAACAUUCCGGAUUCAUCAGUUCUCAGAACAGAAGAUGGAUGCACCUGAACCAGUUGAGGCUUGAAACCUAUAGUUCUAUAUCCAUUGUGUCGAAUCAUCCUCUCAGCAAGUUUAUCUGCAUAGCCCACACACAAGGCUUUCCUCAAAUUCUUAUACUCCUGUUGGCCUUUUUUAUAUCUUUUGUCUGCUUGUACAUCUAAUGAUCCCUUUGCUAUUUUCUGCAUUAUCUGACACAAUUGUUUCCGGACAUCUUUGACAAAUAUCAUUCCUCGCACCUGCAAACCAUUAUCUUUGCACCAACCAAUAUCAUAGUCAUUUUGAUCCCAUUGCUCAUAAAUCUGUAGCAACUGGAUGUGAUCCCCCAAACCAGAACCAUCAGGAAGGUCAAACUCCAAGGAAGUAUGCUUCCGCUUCUUUUCAGUACUCCUGCUGCUGCGGCCAGGAAGUAAUGAGGUUUCUGCUGAUAACAUAGCAGCCACAGUCAAUGCCUGGGACAAGGAACCAUUUUCAUUUGCCUCCAUUAAGGUUCUUGAAAGUGAUGGCUCUAAUGGAAGUUCAGCCAUUGUUCGUCCAACACUAGUGAUUGAUCCAUUUUCAUCAAUAGCAUCAAUUAGAUAUAGUUGCUUUAAAGCAUCCGUUAGUGACUCAUAUGAAGGGGGAUCAAGAAAAUCAAAUUUCAGAAUGUCAAUAUCUGGGAGAUCCAACGAUUUCAAGUAAAGAACACUGCCAGCAAGCGAAGAUCGCUGUAUCUCAGGAACCGUGACAUCAAGGAAAUCAUCUUCAUAAAUCGUUGAAGGGUAUAGCCGGUAACACUUUCCAGGACGUGUUCUUCCUGCUCGCCCUGCACGCUGAUUGGCUUGCACUUUGCUAAUUUGCACAACAUCGAGGGAAUACAUGCCCGUUGAUGGAUUGUAUUGCCGUUGCUUUACAUAACCAGAAUCAAUAACAUACACAACACCAUCAACCGUCAACGAAGUUUCAGCAAUGUUAGUUGCAACAAUAAAUCGCCUACAAUUUGGAGGUGGUGGAGCAAAUACACGAACCUGCAUUUCAGGUGGCAAGGAACCAUGGAGUGGAAGGACAAUUGCAUCCAUACAGGACCCUUCCUCUAGGCUUUGAACUCUAUCCUCCAGCUUUGACACUAACUUCUCUAUAUCAUCCUGUCCAGUCAAGAAUAUCAAGAUGUCACCUUCAGGUUGACGAGUAUGUAUAUCAAUAGCUGUUCUUAAAGAAGACUCAAUGUAGUUUGUAGGGCGUUCCUUGCUGUACAAUAUUUCCACAGGGUACAACUUUCCAGGGACAUUCAGUACAGGGCAACCUGUAAAAAAUUCUGAUACUUUUUCACCAUCUAGAGUUGCUGACGUAAUGAGAACCUUUAAAUUUGAAGCCCGUAAUUUAACCAAGCGUUUCACUAGUCCCAGUAAAAUGUCCGUGUUCAGACUUCUCUCAUGGGCUUCAUCCAAUAUGAUCACUGAAUACUGAUUAAGCUCCGGAUUGGAAAGACUUUCACGGAGGAGGACUCCAUCAGUAAGGUAUCUGAGCAAUCCACAAUAUUGAUUCGUGUUAAAUCUGAGGUUCUAUCUUCAAACCGAAUGGCAUAACCCACUUCCUCCCCAAGCUUAACACCAAGCUCCUGGGCAACUCGUCUCGCAACAGAGACUGCAGCAACCCGACGUGGCUGAGUAACGCCAACGAUUCCAGACUUAGUGUAACCUCUCCGAUGCAGCAUCUGAGAGAGCUGGGUGCUCUUACCUGAGCCGGUCUCUCCGAUUAGUACCACCACCGGAUUCUCUUCCACUGUUUUCAUGAUCUUCUCUUCGAAUUGGACAAUUGGAAGAUUCGCCAUUGGUGAAAGGAAAUCAACUCAAGAAUCGCAAACACAGAAUUGCGAUUUUAUUAUUAAGGAUAUUUCAAAAUUUUUUCCAGCAACCUGAACUACAGGAGUGAAGGCAAAG